ensembl:lncRNA
AUGCCGAAACGAAAAUAUAAAAAAUACCUGGAGCCUGGCAGUGUGUCCAUCAUACCUGCCAAAACCAGACAAAGGCUGGAGAAGAAGGUUGGUUUUGAGGUAGAAGCUAUUACAGGCACAAGUAAGGCCCUUUUGCUUGCAGACCAGACCUAUUCGGAUGAGUUCUCUUUGGAGGUAGAAGGCACCUCAAAGACAAACAUCACCUGCUCAUACUCAUGCCAGGCCAAAACUGAUGCACUUUUCCAACUUAAUGAGUUGGCUUCAGACUCAGAGGUAGUAUCAAAAUUUGACAUACCGGAGCCCUUAAAUGUAUUUUUUGAAUGUCUUUCUAAUAUAUAUCGAUCAAAGGUCACGUUAACCAAAAAUUAUCUGUCAUUGACAGAUUUUUUUUAGCAAUGGCUAAUAUAAUAUAAAUCUAUGGCUAGGUGUUGGGGAUGUAACUAUUCAAUCAACUCAUGAUUUGAUUCGAUUCACGAUUUUGAUUUCACGUUUUGAUUCACAUUUUUUUUUUAACACAUUGAGAUUUAAAACAAAUGAUAAAUUAAAUGUGCCCUUUUAAUAUUGCUUAGACUAAAUGCUGCAAGUUUCUUUGUGAAAUUGAAAUAUAACACUAUAAUAAUAUACGAAUAUAGCACUUGCAUAUUGUUGCUCUUUUGUUGGUUUUGAUUGAUUCCAUUGUCCUCAUUUGUAAGCAGCUUUGGCGAAAAGCAUCUGCUAAAGGACAAAAUUUAAAUAUAAUGUAAAUGUAAAUAACAAAACUAAAUUGAAAUUUUAAAACAAGCCCAAAUCAAAUAAAUAACACAAAUAAAAUCA